rnacentral:lncRNA from 1 species
AUGCCGGAGGAGAGGGGGGGUGGAGUGGUGAGUGCCCGCGGAAGGGAGCGUGGGCGGCGCGGGGCACCGGGGGGCGCGGAGCCUCCGCCCCACCACAGGAGGCGGACAGGGAGGGAAGAAGGGUGCCCGGAGCGGAGCAGAGCGGUUUCUUCUGAAUUCACUGUACAGAGGUUGCCCAUCCAAAAUCUGUGGAAUCAUGUCACUUGUACAUUCCAGUGGAGAAUGAAUGUUUUCUGGGCAGAAAGCUGGUGUAAAUGACUGCUGCCGCCUCCCAGCGCAAGAUAACCUGCUCAGUCAGCUGGAGCCCCCUGCGGACAGCUGCCUCUCUUUUAGCUGAUGGAAAACUGCUACUAACCGCUGAAUGGAAGAGAGUGGAGCAGCAACCAUACUAGCAGCAGCCGCUGUAGCGAGAGCAAGCAAGGACUCUAUUGUUCCCGAGCGUUAAACAGUUUUUCCUUUGCAACUGACAUGCACAAAAGCAAGAGUGAGGCUUCCAGUCUGCUUCUCCCUGCGAAAAAAUUUUGAAGAAGGGAAUAUUAUUCGGAGGAGGUUUCGCAGUUGGGCUGUGGGCUUUGGACGCGGGCUGCUGGAGGCAUGGGGCUGAGUGAGGGGAGCACUGCUUUCCUCUGUGGGCCAGGGCUCUCCACCUCACCAGCCUGCUGCGUGGGAGUGCUGGUGGUCCUGCUGCUGGGGAACUGGGGCGCUUGGGCACAGAGCGAAUUCCAAACUUCGUCCGUUUAUCUGUGGAAGACUG